GAAAUUUACACUUCAGUUCUGAAGUGCUCUGUGUUAAUCACAAUUCAUAUUUACCUGAAUGUGCUUGAAGAGUAUAUUGACUCGAAGCGGUUCAUCCUUCUCGCGUUUUAAGGCAACACCUGGAGGGACAUAAAUUCGAUGGUGAUUCUCCAAAGCAGUGCUGUUGUUCUUCAGCUUUUUGGCCAAUGCACUCAAGAAAUCAGUCAUGAAAACCCAACCAAAGGAGGGGCCAUUCCCAAUAGUCACACGAUUAGGUUCAACAACGAUCAACUUCUCCUUUUUAAUCAGCAACGAGUAUCCAACAGAGCUGUAGUCAUUGAAGAUAGGGCCAACAAAGACAUAAGCAUCCGCAGAUUCAACAAUCUCCCCACAGAAACUAGAGCUCACUGCUCCCCAGUAAGUACCAAUGAAAUUAGAGUGGUGCUCUGGCACCAGUCCCUUGCCAGAUGGCAUUACUGCUAUUGGGUAGCCACAGGCAUCAGCAAGUUCCACAAAAGCCUGUUGUGCUUUUGCCACUCUUACUUUUGGACCUCCCACAAUAACUGGUUUUACAGACUUGUUCAAGAACUCAGCUGCUGCUUCAACUGCUGCUUCUAAUCCUAGUUGAUUGCUGGCCCUGCAAAUGCAUUUCAUCUUAAUAAAACAGCCUAAUAAACCAUCGAUUGUUUCGCUAAAAGGGAACAGGAGAGAACAUACUUUGGAGAAAGAAAGAAUGGAACCGGUUCUCUAGCAAAGGUAGGGUGAGGAAGUCCAGGCAAAUUGCAGCUUAUGCUAAUGUAAGCUGGCUUGCUCUCCUUCAAAGCAGUUGAAAUUGCAGUAUCAAUCAAUUCAUGUGCAUCAUGCAAGUUAUUUACCACUGCCUGUUACAUUAUACCAACUUGAUCACUUUCAACAAACAUCAAAUGCAAACUAUAAAAUUAAAACUUAGUCCCAUAAAACAAAUCCACUGGACAUCUCCAGAUACAUAUGUUCAACUACUAAUAGUUAAGCAAAAUUACCUAAACCAAUGUAGAAGAACUAAACAAUUAAUUUUUAGGUGGAAGUGCGAACAGGUGUCUCUAUUCAAGGAUUAAGGCUAUUAAGCACAUACUACAUGGGAUCAGAGUUAAACUCUAUACAUUGAAUGUCUAUAAUAUUUUUUUUUCCAUAUAAUUACAUAUAAAGUGAAACUAAUAACCUGAAAAUUUAAAAUUAAGGCAAGUAACCUCUACAGGAGGUUAAAUUGGACUGAUAGCGUAAAAGAAUUUCAUCCAUAAUCAGUGGAUAUAAGCAAAAUUUAUGUGAUUGAAUCUAACUUAAGGUACAAUAGUAAAAUGAACAUAUAUGCAGGGAAUAUAUGAACAUACCUGAGUGCAAGUAACAGUUUGAAAACAUCUAAGUUCCUGACUAAAAUCUGGCACUCCAAUAGUAUGAUGCAAAAUCCUGUUGGUCCCAUAGUCAUUGGAAUUAGGCCCACCAACGAUACAAAUGAGAGGCAAAUUUUCACUGUAGGCCCCAGCAAUAGCAUUUAGCACACUCAGUCCCCCUACAGUGAACGUCACCACACACGCUCCCACCCCUUUCGCACGUGCGUACCCGUCCGCAGCGUACCCAGCAUUAAGCUCGUUACAGCAGCCGAUCAAAUUCAGCUCCGGCUCGGCUAUGAGAUGAUCCAACAACGUCAAGUUGAAGUCACCGGGAACUGAAAACACGUCCUUCACGCCGAUUUGUACUAACCGCCGA
rnacentral:lncRNA from 1 species